rnacentral:rRNA from 1 species
UGGGGAAUAUUGGACAAUGGGCGAAAGCCUGAUCCAGCAAUGCCGCGUGAGUGAUGAAGGCCUUAGGGUUGUAAAGCUCUUUUACCAGGGAUGAUAAUGACAGUACCUGGAGAAUAAGCUCCGGCUAACUCCGUGCCAGCAGCCGCGGUAAUACGGAGGGAGCUAGCGUUGUUCGGAAUUACUGGGCGUAAAGCGUACGUAGGCGGUGACUCGAGUCAGAGGUGAAAGCCUGGAGCUCAACUCCAGAACUGCCUUUGAAACUAGGUCGCUAGAAUCACGGAGAGGUGAGUGGAAUUCCGAGUGUAGAGGUGAAAUUCGUAGAUAUUCGGAAGAACACCAGUGGCGAAGGCGGCUCACUGGACGUGUAUUGACGCUGAGGUACGAAAGCGUGGGGAGCAAACAGGAUUAGAUACCCCCGUAGUCCCUGAGCGGGCUGGCAAGGCGCAU